CCUACGGGGGGCAGCAGUGGGGAAUUUUGGACAAUGGGGGCAACCCUGAUCCAGCCAUUCCGCGUGAGUGAAGAAGGCCUUCGGGUUGUAAAGCUCUUUCGGCAGGAACGAAACGGCGGGCUCUAACAUAGCCUGUCAAUGACGGUACCUGAAGAAGAAGCACCGGCUAACUACGUGCCAGCAGCCGCGGUAAUACGUAGGGUGCGAGCGUUAAUCGGAAUGACUGGGCGUGAAUGUGUCAGAGGGGGCUGAAAUCCCGGGGCUUAACCUGGGAACUGGGUUUGUGACUGCAAGGCUCGAGUGUGGCAGAGGGGGGUGGAAUUCCACGUGUAGCAGUGAAAUGCGUAGAGAUGUGGAGGAACACCGAUGGCGAAGGCAGCCCCCUGGGUCAACACUGACGCUCAUGCACGAAAGCGUGGGUAGCAAACAGGAUUAGAUACCCUGGUAGUC
rnacentral:rRNA from 1 species